CACCAGCAAUCACCAUUCCUGUUUCGUGCUGCUAUUUGUUUCACCACAUGGCCAUCACCCACGAGGGGGACAAACCCAUUGCCAUCAAAUCUGGUUGGGAGUCAGUCAGAUCUGCACCAGUAUGGAGGUACUGCAUAUGCUCCCGGGAUAACAGUUCUUACUGGAAUCAACCAGGUGCUCAUCCUGUCUUUCACGGGGACUGCUGUUGGCAGAAUAUGCAGGCACCCAGGAGCAGCCAGGAAGAGCCUUUCUGUGAGUUGAGUACUACCCAUGAUGUCCUUCAGAUGAUUCUGCAUUUUAUCACUGCAUCCUUUUGUUGCAUGCUCUAGUGACUGGGAAGAGUGUCACAUCACGCGU